AUGGUUUUAUUUGGGGUUUUUUUUAAACCACAGCUGACUUUUGGCAGUCUGGAGGCCAGAGAGGGGCUGGAGCACAGUGGAGCAGCAGCCAUGGUGCCAGAGCAUGGCUCAGCCCUUGCUGGGGGCUGCGGUGUCUGUUUUUGUGUUGGGGGUGACCUCGGCCCAUGGCGGGAGCGGGGUGCUGCCGUUCCCACCCAUGCUUUGGUUCAACCGCAUCUCCCCCUGUUCUCUCCGUCCCCCUCAUCCAGCUGCUGCAGGGGCAAGGUCCCCCUCUCUGCCCAGGCUCCCAGACUUUUGGGGGCCAAGAUCCCCCCUCCAUAUCCCGGCAUGUGCCAGGUCAGGGCAGGGAGAACUCAGCUGAGCACGCACAAACGAGGGGCAGCGGCUGCCGCAGCAUCUAAGCUGCCUCAAAAUGCCUCCCACCCCCCACCCCGAAAGGAGCCAGCGUGGUGCAGUGCUGUUGUCACAGGUCCUUGUCCCACCCGGGGCUGCCUGUGCCACCCCUGCCCCUCUGACUGGGGGUCUGUUGGGGGGGGGUGUCUCCCUCAUCCCUCCCGCUGGGGGCUGAGCGGCUUUUGGAAGAGUCUGGCUGGGGAGGUGGAGCGGAUGAUGCCCCGAGGCUGGAGACUCCCACUGCUGGGGGGCUUCCCCAAGGGGCUUCCCCAUGUCCUUGCCCCACACCCCUGUCCUGUCCUGGGCUUGGUGGGAGGUGGGAGGCUUCACGUGAGGUUGCAGACCCAGCUCCAGGCUCUGGCCAGGUCAGGCAGGGCUUUGGGCUGCGGAGGGAAGGCAGACAGACAGACAGACAGGUAUCCGCACUCCUUCCCCCGUUGUGGAGCGUGCAGAGGUGGGCGCCGGCAGCAGCGUGGUGUUACCAAUGGCGGCUCUCCCCGGCACCUCUCCCUCCCUGUAACUCCUCAGAAGCUUGUUUUUAAGUUGGAGUUUGUUUCCUCGUUGCUCUUCAGGACAGACCUGAGCCCCGGCCCCCCGCUGCUGCGCGGGGAGGGGUUUGCCUUUGGCUCCCGUUGCGCUGCCCCCUUCUCCCACCAUAGCUCACAGGACCCUCGCACCUCCCUCUGCACCCACCUGGGCUCCCCAGGGCCCCGGCACGGCCUCUGCGGGGUGGGAGCAGGAUUUGGCUCCGUCCCAUCUCUGCCAUCCUUCGCCUCUCUACUAGCGCGCUGCUGUGGCUGCCUGCCCCGUUUGAACCCUGUCAGGGAACUUGGACUUCACGGCAUAGCAAUGUAUCGUUACACCAAUAAAGUUUUUCUGUGA
rnacentral:lncRNA from 1 species